rnacentral:lncRNA from 1 species
CCCCUCUUCUCCCUGGUUUUGGCCUCCUAGGCCCAUCCUUUCCCCCACGGCCCACUCCCUCUCCUCUCACUCUUCCAGCCUUUCGGCCCAAUCCAACCGCAACCGGCAGCCCCCAUUCCCCUUCCUCUCUCUCUUGUUAUCAGGCGGGGCCUCCUUGUAAGGCUCUCCCUAACCUCUGGCCGCGCUUGCAGCAACUGCUACUGAGCCCUGCGCCCAUGUUCGCGUCGUGGGAGAGUCUUGCCUGCUCCCCGACCCCCUCCUUAGCCGC